AGCCAUCCACCCCUUCAUUAACCUAAAAACCCUUCUUCUUCACCCCAAAAAUCAAGCAGCCACUCCUAAACCCUAGAGAGACCAUCUCCAGUUGUCAACCCCUCUCCAUUCCACAUCUGCCGCCACCGACCACUUCAAGCCCGCCGGAAAUCGACCACCACACUCUCACCCCUAAGCUUCUGUCGCACCACCCCUACCCUUUUACCCUUCUGCCACCCUUACCACCAAGACUCACCGGAAAUCCGGCGACAACCUUCGAGCAACACCCCGAAAAUCCAACCACACAUAUACACACAGUCGAAAAAUAAAAAAAUAAAAAAAAUAGAAAAACAGAAAAAGAGAGAGACAGACAUGGGAGGGGAAUCGGUAGUUUUACACAGGGAUUAGGAGAUUAAGAAUUCAAUUGAGAGGGUGGAGAACAAAGAGCAAAGAAACACCACUCUUCUUUUACAUUCAACAUCAAAUAUAUAGAUCUAGCAAUCUUACUCAUCAAGACCAUGUAAACUCCACUUGAGAACCACUAUCCUUAAACCAAAUCCUCCAUUACACCAAUGUUAAAGCUUAGAAACAGCCACAAUUCCCCACCCAGGCCCAUCUAUCUUUAGCCACAACACACGCACACAUAGAAAAGAGGAGAAUAGCACAAAAAGAAGGGAGGGAAACAAAAAAUCAGCGAUACCUCCGACUUCCACAAGAACCUCACAUAUGAAGCUCUUGAUUUCCAUCUCCUAACAUGUAAAAAAAAUUGAGCCGUUACUCCAUUUUCCAUUUCUAAUGGAUUUCAUUUUUGUACUUGUUUUCUUUCCUCCUAUCUAUUUUCCCCAAUAAUCUAUUACAGGCCUCUCUUUCCUUUCAUUCAAUUUUCUUAGAAAUCCCAAAUGUGUUCCUGCAUUUCUCUCUUUAUCGUGUUUUUUGGCCUUAGCUUCUGGAAUUAUUAAGCAACAAGGAAGUUCUCCUUAUAAAUGAGAGAACGGAGAUGACGUGGACAGAGCUAAGGGGAAAGAUAAAGCACUAUCCUUCUCACCAUAAGCACCAGCUGAAAACAACUUCAAACUAGCAUAAAAAUCCAAUUCAAAUCAGCCCCGUCGUAACCCCAAAAUUGCAUAAAAUUUCAAUUCCGAUCAGUUCUUUGAGCUUCAGUGUUCUCUGGGUCGAGUAGAGUUCGAUUUCAUCGGCGAUAGUUGAGUUUCUCUGGCAAGUUCGGUCAGCCUGUCACCUGCCGAGGUUCUGGUCGCGAUCUUGUUGCUGUGACUUUCAAAACAGUCCAAGCAUUUGAAUUUCAAAUUCAAUGAAAAGGUCCACACUCUUACUCUCUCCCUUUAGUUACAUUUUAAUUUGAAUGUGUUUAUUUGAUAAAAUUAUUGAAUGAAUUGAUUUGGUGCAAAGCUUUAUUUGUUUAGAUUUUAAUUUUUUUCUUAUCUUGAUACUCAUUUGAGGGAAAUAGGAAUACUCAUUUCUGGACACUUUUGUUUUGAUAUGUUUGUGUAUACUGUUCAUGACCAAGAGCAUGCAAAAUAUGAUUAAGUUGGUGCGUUUUUGCUCUGAAUCUAUUAGCGUUGCGUAUAGUUGUUUCCUUUUUUUUCCUAUUCUUUUGGAAGAUAUAAUGGAAGAAAAAAGUAUGGACCCGGAUUGGAGUAUCGUACAGAAAGUUAGACCUUAGAUAAUUUUUCUUGUUGUCAUUUUAUUUUGUUUAGUUGGUCGCUAGGAGCAUGCUAGGCCGAUAAUAUAUUGGUAGGCAAACCUUAGGAUUCUUAUAUUUUUGUUUUUGAGGCGAAAGUUUGUCCCCAUUUGUUUAUUAUUUUAUUAGGGUGAUGCUCACAAAGUUUGUAAAUAUUAUUUUUCGAGGAAUACCCCGAAGUAUCAUGUAAUUGGAGGCCUUGACAAAUAUCGUGGAGGAAGCAUAGUAUAGGUUAAUGUAGGAUUUUUAACAUAUUAUUUUUUCUUUCUUCUCUUUUCUUUUCUUUUUUUUAUAUUUAGGUGGGGACGACCUCGAGCUUCUUUUGUGUUUGUUUUCUUUUUGUGUGUUUUUUUACCUUAAUUCGAGUACCUAUAAAAAUCGACUUGAUCAUGUACGCAACCGUACUAGUUACGGGACUCGGGGAAUACCUAACACCUUCUCCCCAAGUCAAAUGAACUCCCUUAUCUAGAACUCUGGUGCAAACUGGUUUAAGAGUCAAAUGUGCUUUGAAGGAAAAUUAUUAUUUUUAAAAUAGUGACCUGGAACACCGAACCCAAUGUCAGGUGGCAACUCUGAAAAUCCUUCGAAACACAAUCCUUUUGUCACUUUUCAUAAUUGAAAACCCUUUUGAGCUUCAAGAAUCUUUUAUUAUUAAUUUUAAAAGGGCUAAUGAGGUGAAAAAGGGGUAUGACAGCUCUGGCGACUCUACUGGGGAGUUGCAGUUUCGAGCCGAUACUUGAUCUUGUUGGCUUUUAGAAUAUACGAUUGAGGUGUUUGUUUUCUUUAUUUGCUUUUUUAAUUUAGUUUAUUUGUCUUAUUUCAUGUUUUGUUGGUUAUUUGUUUAUCAUUUUUCCUUAUGUGUUUACCGCUUUAUAACUGUCGUCAUUUGCAUAACCAUGGGUCUUCUUUCUGCAACAAGUCUCGUAGUAUGCAUCGCAUACACGAACUCUUUGUUGAGUCACCCUUAUUUUAGGAGAGGGGCCGUCGGACGUAUGGAGUGGGUGGAAAGCUUGAGCAGACCAUCGACCAUAUGCUCCCCCGAAUUGCCUUGUUAGUGAACCCUAAACGUAGGUCAGCCUUUAGGUCAUUUUUAUUUGCAUCAUAUCAUUAUGACUUAGUAGGGCUCGGUCCUAGGUACCGUGUUCCUUCGUAAGAAGCCUGUCCAAAUUGUGUCAAGUGAGCCCAUGGCCCAAAUGGAUAUUCAAUCAUCCAUAUGUGAUACAUGUUACGUCUUUGAGGGUAGAAACAUCAUAUGGCGGACUGAUGUUUGGGAAGAGGGUGAAGUUAAAAAAUGAAGCAAGUAGGGCCUAGUUAUGUUUUUCUUUCACAACAUUUUCCAGAAAAAGACCAAAUAAGUGAAAAUAAAAAAUACAAAAAGAUUAUGCACUUUUUCAUCAUUUUCUCAAAAAAAAUCAAUCAAGAAAAAGAGAGAAAAAAAUCCAAAAAGAUUCUACAUGUUUCAUCAUUUUUCCAAAAAAAAAAGACACAAAAUAUGUUUUCUUCAAAUCUAUGUUUUUCUUAAAUUCUCUCCCGUAUCCAAUCUUCCCAAACUACGCAUACUUGAUUCUCAUCUUUCGGGGUGGGAUACAUAGGCAGCCUAUAUAGAGUCCGGGUCUAGUGAGUCUUAAGUUCUUGGCUUUGAGGGUCGUAGCCAAAUUUUGUAUGUCUAGCCACUUUGGCCACAUCGGUCGUUUUGUAAAAUAGGGCUAUUUUCGCAAAGUGGUUUGUUUAAUUGUGUUUGGAGAAUCUUGAAUCCACAAUUAGGUGUCACUUUACUUUAAUGUUCGUCCUUGUCAAAUUUGCAUGUCUAGCCGUUUUUGGCCACAUCGACAGUUCUUGCAAAAUGGGAUCAUUUUCGUAAAAGUGGUUCAGUGACCCAUGUCUUAGAGUCCUAAGUCCAUAACAAGGUGUCCUCUCUGUUUAAGGUCCAUUUUGUUAUAUUCUCACUUCUAGCCAAUUUUUUGGCCACAUAGGCCAUUUCUUCAAAAUGGAUCAUUUCUGCAAAGUAACUUUUUCAUGUCUUAGGUCACCUUUGUUGAGUUUGCACUUCUAGUCAUAUUUUGGCCACGUAGGUUAUUUUGCAAAAAUAGCUUUAAUCAUGCCUUGCAUGUGUCCAAUAGAAGGUGGUGUGGUGUCGCAUAGUGUCUUGAGUCACUAAUCUAUUUGUGUCACGACCCUAACCCGGACCCGGUCGUGAUGGCGCCCCUCGUGAAGACAAGGCCAACCGACACUUCCCGUUUUCCAAUUAUUAAUAGUUAAGCAUUUAAGAAACGGUCUAAAUAGGAUAGAAUAAAUCUGAAUUAACAAUGAUAACAUAAAUACGCGGAAGAACACCCAUACACAGCCCUAAUGGGGAUGUCACUAGUCAUGAGCAUCUAUAAGUCACAAUACAAUUCUGCUAAAUCCAUAACUAGUACAACUGUUUGAAAGGAAAUAGAAGCAAUAAAGGAGUAGAGACACAGGGCUGCGGACAUCAACAGCUACCUCGCAAUCUCCGAAGGCCGCCUGAAGCUGGAGGAAUCAGCACUUGGGAGCGGAACCAGCUACGCCCGAAUCUGCAUACAGGGUGCAGGGAGUAAAGUGAGUACUCCAACUUAGUGAGUAACAAAUGUAAAUAACGACUGAAAGUAAGAAAAUACAUAAGGCACAAUGCAUUCUAUAAUGAAGCACUAAAACCAUUUAAAAGCAGUAAAACAGUGGAAAGUCAAGUAAAAUCCUUUUUCAACAAGUAAACAAGUAAUUGACAGUAAUUAAGGUAAAGUAAACAAAUAGAAGUUCGCCCCUCGGGCACAGUAUCACCACAUCUGCCCCUCGGGCAACAUCUCAGUACAAUAACAGCCCCUCGGGCUCAAUCUCACAUCAUAAUGGGUACCCGCGCUCACUAGGCAUGUGCAAACUUCUGGAGGGGCCCCUUACGGCCCAAGCGCAAUAACAAGUCAUCUCAUGGCAUCAAAACUAGGCCCUCGGCCUCAUAUCAAUCAAGCCACCUCGUGGCAUACAUAUCUCAGGCCCUUGGCCUCAUAAUCAGCAUCAAAUCCUCACAACAUAGGCCAUCGGCCUUACUCAGUCAAAAAUCUUCACAAGCCCCUCGGGAAAUAGUAAAAUAGUGUUUCUCAGCCCAAACAUCAUUUAAAAUAUCAUGUAAGUCUUAAAACAGGUAAACAUGGCUGAGUAUGAAAACAGUGGAAAAUAACAUGACUGAGUUCAAGUAUAAAGACAAAUAGUGAGGAAAUAUCAAUAAAAAGCCCUGAAUGGUUCCAAUUGUUGGCACUAGGCCCAAAUAUGGCAUUCGGCCCAAAUAAUAAUGAUAGCAAAUAGUUUUCAAUCAAAUACGAGGUAAAAUCAUCAAUCAGGACGGACCAAGUCACAAUCCCCAAUAGUGCACGACCCUACACUCGUCAUCGAGCAUGUGCCUCACCUCAAUAUAGCAUUACGAUAUGCAAAUCUAGGGUUUCAGACCCUCAAAACAUCAUUUACAAUCAUUACUCACCUCGAACUGGCUAAAACUCUAGCUCGCGAUGCCUUUGCUCCUCGAGUCGGCCUCUACGCGCGUCGAAUCUAUCCAAAAUCAGAACGAGGACGUCAAAAUAUGCUAAGGGAAUGAAGUCCAAGCGAAAACAAUCAAUAAAGGGCACAAAUCCAGAAAUUACCAAAACCCGACCCCCGGGCCCACGUCUUGGAAUUCGAUAAUUUUUACAUCGAUAGGUUCCUUAUCUCCCCACGAGUUCAUACAUAUCAAAAGUUCUCAAAUCCGACCCCAAAUGGUCCUUCAAAUCCACAAUUAAAGGCCUAAGUUUCCAACCCCUAGUUUCCCCAUUUUAACCUUUGAUUUCCAUAAUUUCUAGCUCUAAUUCAUGAAAUAAUAGCAUAGGAACGAGUUUUAGGUCCAAAUUCCUUACCUCAAUGAAGUUCUCUUGAAAUCCCUCUCUCAAAUCGCCCAAAAAGCUCCCAAGCUAAAGUCAAAAAUGGUGAAAUAUCUCAAAUUCACGAAAUGAAAUAACUUAUAUAUUCUGUCAGGCCUUUCCGCAUCUGCAGUACCGCAUUUGCGGUUAAAUCCUCCGCUUCUGCGGAAUUCACUUAAGAGCCCAAAAUCGCUUCUGCGAUAAGGUAUCCGAUUGACCUGAAUAUUUUGCAUACAUACCCCAAAUGACACAACGGAACUACUGCAACUCUCGGAAUUCCAUUCCGACCCCUAUAUUAAAAUCUCGCCUAUCAAUCGGAAAUUGCCAAAAAUAUCAACUUCGCCAAUUCAAGCCUAAAUCUACUACUAACCUCUAAAAUUUAUUCUGAUCACACUCCUAAGCCACAAAUCACCUCCCGAAGCUAGCCAAACCACCGGAACUCACAUCCGAGCCCUCUAUCAUAUAAUUUAAUAUUCGAUUGACUUUUUCAACUUAAACUUACUCUAAAGAGACUAAGUGUCUCAAACCUUGCCAAAUCCUUUCCGGAUUCGAUCCGGCCAACCCGAUCACAUAUAGACCCGAUAGAUAAAGCAAUAAGAAGCAGAGAUAGGGAAAACAUAGUAGUAACUCAUGAGAUGACUGGCCGGGUCGUCACAAUUUGGUCGCAUUUUUCUUAUUGAGGUAUGGAUCAGUGUACUAGAUCUCGAGCAUGACAGAUACACCAGGACCAUCGCAUUUGAGAGCUUGUUUGAAGAGACUUUUUAUAUUUUGAGUCUACUUUCAUGUUUUCUUUUAUUUUCUUGUCUUGUCUAGUAGUUUUGAGUAUUUUAGGUGGUGUAAGAGUUUGUCGAGUCUUUUGUCAUCGUACUUCCCGUUUAUAUUUGGAAAACAAAUGGUUAUAAAUGAAAAAAUCCAAAAUGAUUCUUGUUUUUUUAAGUUAUUUUGUCCAUUACUUUUUCAUAACUACGCUUGGUUUGAUUCAUGUACAACAUGAUACGUAGGCAACCUACAUAGGGUUCGAUCGAAUCAUUAUUAAAAAAAGGAAAAAAAAGGAAAAAAAGAGAUUGAAGUAGUGGGACGUGAGGGGUGAGAGAAAGAAAAUAGUGAUAAUUAGAAAGAAAAGAGAGGAAGGAAAAUGAGCAAGCCAAGAAGUGCUAGAAAAAAAAGAGAAGAUUGAAAUGAACAAAAUUGGCAUGAUGCCAAAUGACCUUGUCACCCUCGAAGUCAUUCUAGAAUCGUUAGUUGUUGCUAGGUGCAAUGCACGCAAUGUGAUAUUUCUAUCUGAUAAAUGCCCUAACGCUAACAUGUUGACUUUGUGUUGCUCCUCUUUGGUACUUUAAUUGUUAUCAUAAAAGAAGUUGGUUAGUUUGUGGCAUUCUGGCGAGUCAUCCGUUCAACACAAGGUCAAAGAGCAAGCUAGCCAUGGCUAGCAAAGACUUGGACAUAGGUGUUGUCGACCCGCCUAAGGAGAUUGUUGAAUCGGAAUCUGAGUUGAAUGAUAAGGUCCUAAGGUUGAAAGGAUAGAUGGCCAAAAUGUACCAUGCCUGGAUUAGUGGAUAUCCUCCACCAUUAUUUCCCACUAACUACAAUGAAAGCCUCAUCACCAUUUCGCCACUGUCACAAAUCCAGAUUCCCACUGCUGUUAAUAUCUCCCUAUAACUUUUUCACACUCCACCCUCCAGAACCACCUCAUAUCGCGCUCCUUUGACCACUGAUGUUUUUAUAGCUCCUCCACCAGCUAUUCUUCCUCGAUCCCCUAGCGAGACUAUGUUCAAUGUCCCCGAUGCCCAACACUAUGCUCCAGAACCAAUCUUCAAGGUCUCGUAUCUAUACUCUUAUGAUCCUCAUUUUGAGCCUCUCGGUGAAACUGCAAAGCCUGCUAAGAAAGAAGAGCGAUAUGAGAUAUCCAUAAAGUCGAAAGGAUAGAACAAUCCUUAAAGAACAUGCACGGAGUGGGAAAUAACAUGUCUUACAACGACUUAUGUAUGUUUCUAGAUAUUCAUCUGUCUGCGGGAUUUAAAAUGCCAAAGCUUAACUUAUAUGAUAGCCGUGGAGAUCCAGUAGCCCAUCUGAGGGGUUAUUGUAGUGAAAUGAGAAGUGUUUGCGGGAAAGAUGAAUUGUUGAUGGCGUAUUUCAGUGAGAGUCUGCGUAGGGAAGCCUUGGAGUUGUAUACUCGUCAAGAUGUCAGUAAGUGGCAUGCAUGGGGUAACACGGCUCAAGAUUUUGUUCGGAACUAUUAGCACAAUGUAGACAUUAUCCCAGACCGCUCCUCCCUAUGUCUGAUGGAAAAGAAACCUAAGGAAAGUUUUAGGGAGUUUUGGUUCAGAUGAAACGAACAAGUUGCUCGAGUCAAUUCUCCGAUUGAUAGAAAAGAUGUUGUUGAGCCCUGCCAACGAUAGGAUCCAGUGGGCAUUCCUGCUAAAUGUUUUCAGCCUCAACACCGACCCUAUGAAUAUCCUCGUACUCCAGAUAAUCAUCACCAAUGCUACUUUCCUCAAGAAAAUCCCCAAAGGCAUACCUCACCUUCCCAGUACUCUAUCCACAAUGCACCGCCAUAUGCUCAACACCUAUGAAACCUGCAACGGCUUGCACCGCCUCCACAAAUGUCUUAUCCACCUCUACAAGCAUAACAACCACCUACCCAAAAGAGGUUCCAACCAAGGACAGAGUACAAAAUGAGAAAGCAGUAGCAAAGAGAAAAGUCUUUCACUCCUAUUGGAGAAUCAUAUGCCAGUCUAUUCCAAAGGCUGAGGUAACUGGACAUGGUGAAGCUGAUUCAGAUAAAAAUGCAGAACCCCUUCUCCAAGAAUUUUGAUUUUUCUCAAAGGUGUGCAUAUUGCUCUAAUGCCCCAUGGCACGUCAUAGAAAAGUGUUGGCAUUUGAAAAGAGCAAUCCAGAAGCUUAUUGAUGCAGGUGACAUUACCGUGCAAAAUCCAAAUGCAGCAAAUACUAGCCAAAGUCCAUUGCAUCUUCAUAAUGAGACGCAUAUGGUGGGGAUGAUUUGUGUGGAAAAGGAUAUGAGAACUCUUCUGAAUCCCUUGGAGGGCCACUUAACGCAAAGUUUUUAGUGCUAUCAGUCUCGGUUUCAGAGGUUGACCUUAAGAACGAGUUGGAAAAAGGGACCCAAGCUAUUUGCUAAGGUCAACAUGAUGGAGAUUUGUGGAGGUUUUGGUAAUAUUGAUGCGGAACUCAGUGGCUAAAAUGUCGAGCUUGGUAAUUGGAAAGACACUCCUUUCUUGGCUAGCCAGGGAGGAGUUUUGGUGGAUUAUUUUGUUAUUAUUUCUAUUGUCCGGGUUAUUUCAUGGUUGUAUCCGGAUAUUGUCUUGUAGCUCAAACCCUUCUUCUUCUUAUUUUUCCUAGUUCGUUUAGUUGUAGUAACUCUUUUAGUGUUAUCUAGGUUUAUUCCAGGGUUGUAACCCCAGUUUAUUUUGCUUGUUUUGUUGUUCAAACGUUUUCACUAUAUGUCUAAUGCAAUCGUAUGUUUUCUGUUAUUUCUAGUCAGUUUUUGUUUAGUUCUCUUUUCCUUUUAUAGUUAUUUUCAUGCUGACUCUGGUGACAUGACAUACACGCAUAACUCUUAGCCUGGUCUUGAAAGUUAGUCUAAUCAUGAAACAAUGAAAUAAGGUUUGAAGAUAACAUGGACAUUUGAGGGAAAUAAGUAAAGAUUUGGACAUUAUGAGAUCAUUUAAAGCCUGAAUUGAGUGAAACUCAAGUAGUUAGUAUGAGAAAUCAAGAGGUUGAUGCGGGCAUACAACAAGGGAAUGUCUCUCAAGUAGCUUGAGGUAGAUCAAUCAGUGCUAAAAUGCAUUCUUCUAUACCGAGAUAAGGUUGAGUCAAGUCUGCUUUGAACUCAUAAGGGUCAUUCAUUGGGACAAAGGUAUUGCCCAUUCGCACUUUUCUUUGUGUUGAUGCCAUAAAUAGAUACUAUGUACAAUCUCUUUGCUUAUCUUCAAUUGCAUGUUUGUACUUCGCAUUUUUAAAGUUUGGUAUGAUGAAAGCAUUUUAUUCCUCUACUCAAACACUUUAAUCUUUUGCUACCCCUUUCGAACCCUAAUUUGUUUUGUUUCAUACCCCCUCUUUUGGAAUCAGAAGUAGAGUUAGGAGCUAAAAAGAAAAAGAAAAAGAGAAAAAGAAAAAAAAAGAGAAAAAGAAAAGAAAAGGAGAAAAGUAAAGAAAGGAAAAAGAAAGAAAAGGAAAGAAAAACAACAAAAUAAACAAACUUUAUGUUGGAACUACGUUCGACAUGAUUCCUUGUAAGGAUAUAUAGGCAGCCUUACUUUGAGGUUCGGUCCCAUCAAAGCAAAAAUCCAAAAAAAAAAUCCCCACACUCCAAGAAGUUGGGGCAGAAGUUUUUAUUUGGCCAAAAGAUAUGAUUCCAAAAGUUGUAAUUUUGAACUCUUUCAUCUUAAAUUAUUUUGAGCCUUCAUGCCACCCUUUCUUUCCAACCCUAUCCGAAAGCCUACAUUACGGUCUAAAGAAAGACCUUCCAACGAAUCUUUGAGGAUGCCAAAUAAAGUGUGUGGUAAAAGUAUGAUCUUCUUGUAUCAUGGGUAAUACCUUGUUCUCAGCACAAAGAGAGAAAAUGAUAAAAUGAGAGAGUCUUAUCGGUGAAAACCCUCAUGAGCACCGUAAGGCGACGGUAAGUUUAGAAAAAGAGCAAAAUGAGAGAGGCUUGAUGGUAAAAACCCUUCAGGGCACUACAAGUCGACUGAGGAUUGUGGAUCAAAUAGGACAAUUGGAGCGUUGAAGCCCAGUUUCACAACUUAGAGGCAUAACAAGAGUUGAAGAUUGGACUCGCUUGACAGAUCAGGCCGCUUAAUCCAACAUGCAUGUCAUGGUCAGUGGAGAUGGCCUUCAAAUAAGAUAAGUUUAUACUUUGUUCUUUUUCUUGGGUAAAAACUUUUUCUUGUUAGAUACCAUCUCUUCUCAAUUUUCUCCUUAAUUUGUUCCUCUUGUUUUGUUUGAGUCCCUUUUGAGUUUGGUUUUUGUCAAAACGAGUGAGAAAUGACUUCAAAAUCUGCUACCAGCUUUUUAAUCACACAAAGUCGAGUCUGGCAAGCACAUCAAAAUGGCAUAAGACACAGGAGAAUAGAGUGUGCACUGAGUUGGUGAUAAUAGAUGUUGGAUUGAUUUAAAAUGCAACGAUUUGGUGAAUGUUAGAAUACGAGUGCAAUGCAUCAAGCAUAAGGUAUUGGAUUUGAACGAAUCAGGAAUAUUUCUUGUGAUGAGGGUUUUCCGAAAAGCGAUCGGUCGAUAACAAGCACUAUCUUCCUAGUUGAAGUCUAAGUUGUUAAUGACAAGUUCAAGAGAAAUCUCCCUUGUAAUCAAGGCCACAAACUAACCACCAUGUUUUAAACUCACAAGUUUUCUUUGUCUGAAACAGGGAUGAAGGCUAUGUUCAUAUAAAAGCUUGAAUUUUUUAGGUGUAAUGCCCCAAUUCUGCUGACGCAAAGCCUAUUGAGAAGAUCACACAUCACCCCUAGGAGACGCACUUCCUAGUUUUGGUCAUUCAAAUUCAUCCCUAGGAGACGUACGUCCUAGUUGGAGUCAUUGAAGUUUUAUCUAUUAGGAGAUACACUUCCUAGUAGGGGUAUUUCAGAUUAUACUUUUAGGAGACACACUUCCUAGCUUUGGUCAUUUAAAUUCAUUCCUAGGAGAUGCACUUCCUAGUUUGAGUCAUUGAAGUUUCGCCCGUAGGAGACGCACUUCCUAGUCUAAGACUUUCGGGUUAUAUUUUAUUUUAGGAGACGCACUUUCUAAAUUGAGAUUUUACCCCUAGGAGACGCACUUCCUAGUUUGGGUCAUUUAAGUUCAUUCCUAUAAGACGCACUUCCUAGUUUGAGUCAUUGAAGUUUCACCCGUAGGAGACGCACUUCCUAAUUCGGGUUUUCAAGUUAUAUUUUUGUUUUAGGAGACGCACUUCCUAAAUUGAGAUUAAACCCCUAGGAGAUGCACUUCCUAGUUUGAUUCAUUCAAGUUUUAUCCCUAGGAGACGCACUUCCUAGUUUGGUUCAUUCAAGUUUUAUCCCUAGGAGAUGCAUUUGCUAGUUUAAGUCAAUCGAGUUUUACCCCUAGGAGACGCACUUCCUAGUCAGGGUCUUUCAAGUUACAUUUUUGUUUUAGGAGACGCACUUUCUAAAUUGAGAUUUUACCCCUAGGAGACGCACUUCAUAGUUUGGGUCAUUUAAGUUCGUUCCUAAGAGACGCACUUCCUANNNNNNNNNNNNNNNNNNNNNNNNNNNNNNNNNNNNNNNNNNNNNNNNNNNNNNNNNNNNNNNNNNNNNNNNNNNNNNNNNNNNNNNNNNNNNNNNNNNNNNNNNNNNNNNNNNNNNNNNNNNNNNNNNNNNNNNNNNNNNNNNNNNNNNNNNNNNNNNNNNNNNNNNNNNNNNNNNNNNNNNNNNNNNNNNNNNNNNNNNNNNNNNNNNNNNNNNNNNNNNNNNNNNNNNNNNNNNNNNNNNNNNNNNNNNNNNNNNNNNNNNNNNNNNNNNNNNNNNNNNNNNNNNNNNNNNNNNNNNNNNNNNNNNNNNNNNNNNNNNNNNNNNNNNNNNNNNNNNNNNNNNNNNNNNNNNNNNNNNNNNNNNNNNNNNNNNNNNNNNNNNNNNNNNNNNNNNNNNNNNNNNNNNNNNNNNNNNNNNNNNNNNNNNNNNNNNNNNNNNNNNNNNNNNNNNNNNNNNNNNNNNNNNNNNNNNNNNNNNNNNNNNNNNNNNNNNNNNNNNNNNNNNNNNNNNNNNNNNNNNNNNNNNNNNNNNNNNNNNNNNNNNNNNNNNNNNNNNNNNNNNNNNNNNNNNNNNNNNNNNNNNNNNNNNNNNNNNNNNUUUCAUUGAAGUUUCACCCCUAGGAGACGUACUUCCUAGUUUGAGUCAUUCAAGUUUUACCCCUAGGAGACGCACUUCCUAGUUUGGUUCAUUCAAGUUUCAUCCCUAGGAGAUGCACUUCCUAGAUUGAGUCACUUGAGUUUUAUCCUUAGUAAAUGCACUUCCUAGUUUGUUUCAUUCAAGUUUCAUCUCUAGGAGAUGCACUUCCUAGUUUGAGUUAUUUGAGUUCAUCCCUAGGAGACACACAUCCUAGUCGAGUCUUUAGUUUUGCUUUCAUUAUUGCAUCAAUAGCAUAGAUGAUUUAUAGUUUUUCUAACACUCACAAAUCUUCCUAGCGCAAACUAGGGCAGAAAAUUUUAUUUGUUUUGUUGUUUUGAUUGCAAGUGCCCACCUAAAGAACUAGGAAAGUCAUUUCAGAAUUCAAUUCAAGUUAGAAAUAGCAGUAGAUCGCCUCAAGAAUGCGAGUCGACAGUCCGAGAUGACCAAAAGAAGAAGUUUCAAUCCAGAAAAAAAAAAAAAAAAAGAAGUAAAUCCAAAUACAGAAGCAGAGGAAAGAUGUGAACUGCUAAGGACAUGGUUGAAGUUACGAGCACUGCAUGUCCGGUCUUGAUAUGAAGAAGUCGUGGAAGAAUGAACCAGUAUCUGCAGCUAGCAAGCAUCAAGGUUCAAAUCAAAAGUCUGCAUGAAGAACCAUUCAAGAUUUAAUAUCAAGCUUCAGUAGACUUAUAGAUAGGAAUCUUGUAACUCAUAGCUGAUAUGCUUGCUUAGUUCUUUUAGAUUUUGAUUUGAUGUAAUAACAGGACCGUGAACCGGAACCUCAACGGCACCUCAAUUGGCUCUCCACCUCGGUAAACUCUGUCACUCUUCCUACUUCUGAACUACACGUGAUCUGAUUCUCUUAUAACCCGGAUAUGUAGGCUGUCCAAAACCAGGACUCGGUCAUAUUUUCCUUUCUUCUAGUUCUCCUCUUUUAAAUAAAGGUCGGGCCAAAACAUGUCUUGUCGUUCUUUGUCUGAAAAAUCUUCGUAUUUUCAGUCAAAGAGGAGCAGCUGUAGACAUGUAAUUUUGGCCCUCCCCGAGAUUUUAUACAUUUUAGCAUUAAAAUAUUUAGUUUAGGUCUAAUAUCGCUAUUUUAACUAGUUUUGACUCGUUGACUUUAUUUUAUCACAAAAUAAAAAUUACAAAAAUAUUUUCUUUUAUUUAGCUAAUUGAUAUUUUAUCUAGUUACUUUUAGUUUAUCUACCUUUUAUAAAAUUAAAAAAAAUACAAAAAUAGUUUCUCUUUGUUUUUAAAAAUAUUAGUAUUUUUUAUAGGAAUAUUAUUUUAAUUUUGCGAUGAUUAUAAUCUAAUCCCAUUUUUAUUUUUUAGUAUGAUAUUUGAAAAAUACCAAAAAUAGAUUUGUUUUAACGAUUAGUUUUAUUUUAAUAAUUAUUUCUACUUAAGUAGGAUUAAUUAGUAUAUGUGGGUAGUAUUUUUAGUCUUGUCCAAUGAGAAAGAAUCAAAUUUGGGCUAGAACAAUCCAUUUUUUAGGCCCAUUUUUGGAAAUUAAGCCCUUAGCCCAUACCCUCACUUCCCUAAAAAGAGACCUAAUUCCACUAACCAUAAGAACCCUGAGAGCCAUCAACCUUCCACCCCCUUCAUUAACCUAAAAACCCCUUCUUCUUCACCCCUAAAAUCAAGAAGCCACCCUUGAACCCUAGAGAGACCAUCUCCAGUCGCCAACCCCUCUCCAUUCCACAUCUUCCGCCACCGACCACUUCAAGCCCGCCAGAAAUCGACCACCACACUCUUACCCAUAAGAUUCUGCCGCACCACCCCUACCCAUUUAGCCUUCUGCCACCCUCACCGCCAAGACUCACGGGAAAUCCGAUGACAACCUUCGAGCAACACCCCGAAAAUACAACCACACAUAUACACACAAUCGAAAAACAAAAAAAAGACGGACAUGGGAGGGGAAUCAGUAGUUUUACACAGGGAUUAGGAGAUUAAGAAUUCAAUUGAAGAGGGUGGAGAACAAAGAGCAAAGAAACACCACUCUUCUUUAUUUUCAACAUCAAAUAUAUAGAUCUAGCUAUCUUACUCAUCAAGACCAUGUCAACUCCACUUGAGAACCACUAGCCUUAAACCAAAUCCUCCAUUACACCGAGUAGAGUUCGAGUUCGUCGGCGAGAUUUGAGUUUCUCCGGCGAAGUUCGGUCAGCCCGUCGCCUGUCGAGGUUCUGGUCGUGAUCUUGUUGCUUGUGACUUUCAAAACAGUCUAAGCAUUUGAAUUUCAAAUUCAAUGAAAAGGUCCACACUCUUACUCUCUCCCUUUAGUUACGUUUUAAUUUGAAUGUGUUUAUUUGAUAAAUUAUUCAAUGAAUUGAUUUGGUGCAAGGUUUAUUUGUUUAGAUUUUAAUUUGUUUCUUAUUUUGAUACUCAUUUGAGGGAAAUAGGAAUACUCAUUUCUAGACACUUUUGUUUUGAUAUGUUUGUGUAUAUUGUUCAUGACUAAGAGCAUGCAAAAUAUGAUUAAGUUGGUGUGUUUCUGCUCUGAAUCUAUUAGUGUUGCGUAUAGUUGUUUCCUUUUUUUCUCUAUUCUUUUGGAAGAUAUAAUGGAAGAGAAACGUAUGGACCCGUAUUGGAGUAUCGUACAGAAAGUUAGACCUUAGAUAAUUUUUCUUGUUGUCAUUUUAUUUUGUUUAAUUGGUACCUAGGGGCAUGCUAGGCCAAUAAUAUACUGGUAGGCAAACCUUAGGAUGCUUAUAUUUUUGUUUUUGAGGCAAAAGGUUGUCCCCAUUAGUUUAUUAUUUUAUUCGGGUGAUGCUCAUAAAGUUUGUAAAUAUUUUUCUUCGGAUAAUGCCCCGAAGUAUCAUGUAAUUGGAGGCCAUGAUGGAUAUCGUGGACGAAGCACAGUAUAGGUUAAUGUGGGAUUUUUAACAUUUUAUUUUUUCUUUCUUAUCUUUUAUAUUUAGGUGGGGACGACCUCAAGCCUCUUGUGUGUUUGUUUUCUUUGUGUGUUUUUUCACCUUAAUUCGAGUACCUAUAAAAAUUGACUUGAUGAUGUACGCAACCGUACUAGUUACGGGACUCGAGGAAUGCCUAACACCUUCUUCCCGAGUCAAAUAAACCCCCUUAUCUAGAACUCUAGUACAAACUGGUUUUAGAGUCAAAUGUGUUUUGAAGGGAAAUUAUUAUUUUAAAAAUAGUGACUUGGCACACUGAAACCAAUGUCAGGUGGAGACUCUGAAAAUCCUUCGAAACACAAUCUUUUUGUCACUUUUCAUAAUUGAAAACCCUUUUGAGCUUCAAGAAUCUUUUUUUUAUUAAUUUUAAAAGGGUUAAUGAGGUGAAAAAAAGGGUGUGACAGAGCUCAGCCUAGAGCUCGAGCAGCAGAACUAGUAGUGGAUCCUCAGGUAGAUUUUGAUGAGAAGGUUCCAGCUGAGACUGUACCUGUUAGACCAGCUCAUAUGUCGGAGGGUUACAUCGCCACUCCAGUGCUUUGGGAUGCUCUAGUCGGUUUGGUGGCCUUAUAGAGAGUAUGGCCUGGGCCGAUACAUUUUUGUCGCACCAGCCAUCUCUCAGGUUAGGGGAGGAGUACACACUCCCACUACUCACACUCCGGAGCAGAUGGCUCCUUAAUAUCAGACUCCAGCAACUCCGCUGGUUGGGGUAGUUUAGUCGGUUAUUGAGGCACAGGCAGAUGAUAGGCCUGCCAUGUCUUCUAAGGCUUUAUUAAGGUUGGAAAAGUUUACCAAGCUCUUUUCAGCUCACUUUAGUGAUGCACCUUCUGAGGACCCAUAGGAUUAUCUUGAUCGCUUCCAUGAGGUGUGACGAAACAUGGGUAUAGUUGAGACUAACGGGGUCGAUUUUGUUGUGUUUCAGAUGAUGGGUUUCGCUAAGAGGUGGUGGAGAGAUUAUAUGUUGACCAUACUAGUUGGGUCGCCUGCACUUACUUAGGAGUAGUUCUCACGGUUAUUUUUAGAGAAGUUUCUUCUUAUCACAUUGAGAGAGGAUUACCGCAGGUAGUUUGAGCAUCUCCAGCAAGGCAGGAUGACUGUUACUCAAUACGAGACCCGUUUUAUGGAUCUAGCCCGUCAUGUUCUUAUCUUGAUUCCUAAUGAAAGGGAUAGAGUGAGGAGAUUUAUUGGUGGACUUACUUACACUAUCAGGCUACAAAUGGCCAAGGAGACUAGGGGUGAGAUUUCCUUUCAGACGGCUGCAAAUGUUGUUAGGCAGAUCGAGAUAGUUCUUGCUAAGGAGAGGGGGUAGGUGGCAGACAAGAGGCCUUGACAUUCUAGUCUUUUCAUUGGUGCCUCAUCUGGAAGUAGGGGUACUUUUGGUAUGGGCCAUCCUCCCAGGCCAUUUCGAUCAGUGCUUCAGGUAUCUCACAAUGCUCAACGAUUCGUGGUCCUUAUGUGCCUUAUUUUGGGCAGCCAGCCUACAAUACACCAUCAGCUCCUAUCAGUAUGCCUCCAAUUUAGAGUUAUCAUCAUGGUUAUCUGGCCCGUUCGAGUCAGUCUCAGUUUCAGCAGCCACAGCAGUAGGAUAGAUGUUUUAAGUGUGGUAGUUUUGGGCAUAUCAGGAGGACUUGUCCAAAAUUAUUGUGCGGUAUGCCACAGUAGAGUUCUCGUGCCAUGAUUCCAGCACUGGUUGCUCUACUACCCGCUCAACCAGCUAGGGGCAGGGGUCAGGCAGCCAGAGGUGAGGGUCAGGCAGUUAGAGGUGAAGGUUAGGCCGUUAGAGGUGAAGGUUAGGCCGUUAGAGGUGGAGGCCAACCAGCUAGAGCUCGUCCUAGAUAUGUAGUUCAGAAUGGUGGGGCCUAGCCCUAAUUUUAUGAUUUCCCAACCAGGCCUGAGGUUGAGUCAUCUGAUGUUGUUAUCACACGUAUUGUUCCAGUUUGACAUAGAGAUGCUUCAGUUCUAUUUGAUUCGGGCUCUACUUAUUCCUAUGUGUCAUCCUAUUUUGCUUCAUAUUUGGUUGUACCUCGUGAUUCUUUGAGUGCUCUUGUGUAUGUGUCCACACUUUUAGGAGAUUCUAUUAUUGUAGAUCGUGUCUAUCAUUCGUGUGUGAUUACUAUUUGAAGUCUUGAGACUGGAAUAGAUCUUCUACUACUUGAUAUGGUAGAUUUUGAUGUCAUUUUGGGUAUGGAUUGUUGUCACCUUAUCAUGCUAUAUUAGAUUGUCACACCAAGAUAGUGACCUUAGCCUUGCUGGGGUUGCCUCGAUUAGAGUGGAUGGGGACUCAUGGCCAUUUUACCAGCAGGGUCAUCUCGUAUGUGAAGGCUUGACGUAUGGUCGAGAAAGAAUGUCUAACUUAUUUGGCUUAUGUCCGCGAUUCUAGUGCGGAGUUUCCUUCCAUGGAUUCAGUACCAGUUGUUUCCUACAGAUCUAUUAGGGAUGCCACCCGACAGAGAUAUUGUCUUUUAUAUUGAUUUGGCUUCGGGUACUCAGCCCAUUUCUAUUCCUCCAUACCGAAUGGCCCCACAGAGUUGAAAGAAUUGAAGAAGCAGUUGCAAGACUUGCUUGAUAAAGGCUUUAUUAGACCUAGUGUCUCACCUUGGGGUGUGCUCAUGUUGUUCAUGAAGAAGAAAGAUGGAUCGAUGAGGAUAUGUAUAGAUUAUCAGCAGUUGAAGAAUGUCACCAUCAAGAACAAGUAUUUGUUGUCGAGGAUUGAUGACUUAUUUUAUCAGCUUUAGAGUGCCAAGGUGUUUUUGAAGAUUGAUUUGAGGUCUGGCUACCAUCAGUUGAAGAUUAGGGCAUAUGAUGUCCCUAAGAUUGCCUUUCGGACUCGGUAUGGGCAUUAUGAGUUUUUGGUGAUGUCAGUUAGGUUGACAAAUGCCCCAAAAACAUUUAUGGAUUUCAUGAACUGGGUGUUCAAGCCCUACUUGGAUUCCUUCGUGAUUGUAUUUAUUGAUGAUAUCUUGAUCUACUUCCGCACUCAAGAGGAGCACGAGAAGCAUCUUCAGAUUGUUUUUUAGACUCUCAGAGAUAGUCCAAGUUUUCAAAGUGCGAGUUUUGGUUAAACUCAGUCGUCUUUUUAGGGCACAUCGUAUCAGCAUAGGACAUAAAGGUGGAUCCUAAAAAGAUUGAGGCAGUUCUGAACUGGCCUAGACCCACUUCAGCUAUAGAGAUCCGGAGUAGUCUGGGUUUGGUGGGUUAUUAUCGCCGGUUCGUGGAGGGAUUUUCAUCUAUAGCAGCCCCAUUGACCAGGUUGACCCAAAAGGGUGCCCCAUUUAGAUGGUCAAACGAGUGUGAGUUGAGCUUUCAGAAGCUCAAGACUGCUUUGACUACAGUGCCAAUAUUAGUGUUCCCCACAGGUUCAGGAUCUUACAUGAUGUAUUGUAAUGCAUCUCGUAUUGGGAUCGGUGCAGUAUUAUGGAGGAUGGCAGAGUGAUUGCCUAUGUUUGACGAUUGUUGAAGGUUAAUGAGAAGAAUUACCCUGUUCNNNNNNNNNNNNNNNNNNNNNNNNNNNNNNNNNNNNNNNNNNNNNNNNNNNNNNNNNNNNNNNNNNNNNNNNNNNNNNNNNNNNNNNNNNNNNNNNNNNNNNNNNNNNNNNNNNNNNNNNNNNNNNNNNNNNNNNNNNNNNNNNNNNNNNNNNNNNNNNNNNNNNNNNNNNNNNNNNNNNNNNNNNNNNNNNNNNNNNNNNNNNNNNNNNNNNNNNNNNNNNNNNNNNNNNNNNNNNNNNNNNNNNNNNNNNNNNNNNNNNNNNNNNNNNNNNNNNNNNNNNNNNNNNNNAGGUAUUCAAAGAUCAUCACAGUAUACAGUAUUUGUUCAAGCAAAAGGAUCUCAACUUGAGGUAGAGGAGAUGGUUGGAGUUGUUGAAAGAAUAUGAUAUCACCAUUUUGUAUCAAUCGGGUAAGGCCAAUGUGGUGGCUGAUGCCUUGAGUAGAAAGAUAGUGAGUAUGGGCAGUCUUGCGUACAUUCCAGUUGGUGAGAGACCCUUGCAGGAAAUGUUCAGGCUUUUGGCAAAUCAGUUCGUGAGGUUAGAUGUUUUAGAACCCAGUCUUGUUCUAUCUUGUACAGUCGCUCGGUCUUUCUUGUUUGAGCACAUCAAGGAGUGGCAAUAUGAUGACCCUUAUUUGAUUUUCCUUUGGGAUACGGUGCGGCACGAAGGCGCCAAACAUGUUACUGUUGGAGAUUAUGGGGUUUUGAGUAUGUAGGGUCGUAUUUGUGUGCCGAAGGUGGAUGGGCUUUGGGAGUUGAUUCUUGAGGAGGCCCACACGGUAUUCUAUUCAUCUGGAUGCCGCCAAGACGUAUCAGGACUUGCGACAGCAUUAUUGGUGGAGAAGGAUGAAGAAGGAUAUAGUUGCAUAUGUAGCUCGGUGUCUAAAUUGCCAGCAAGUAAAGUACGAGCAUCCAAGACCUAGUGGUUUGCUUCAAAAGUUAGAGAUUCCUAAGUGGAAGUGGCAGAGUAUCACUAUGGAUUUCAUUAUUGGACUCCUACGGACGAGGUAUGGGUCACUAUGGACAGGUUUACCAAGUCAGCACAUUUCAUACCUGUGGCAGUUACCUAUUCUCCAGAGUGGUUGGCUGAGAUCUACAUCCGCGAGAUCAUGCGUCUUCACGUUGUGCCCUUGUCUAUCAUUUUUGAUCAAGGUAUGCAGUUCACCUCGCAUUUCUGGAGGGUAGUACAAUGUCAGUUGGGCACGCAGAUUCAGUUGAGCACCGCAUUUCAUCCCCAAAUGAAGCUUGAAUUUGACCUUUGAGUAUUUGACCUCGGAUUGGAGUUUCGAUGGUUCCGAUAGGCUCGAGUGGUGAUCUUGGACUUAGGCGUGCAUCCGGAUUUGGAUUUGGAGGUUCGUAGGUUAAUUUGAAGCAUUUUGGCAAAAAUUAAAAAGUUGAAGGUUUGAAAGAUUUAAAGGUUUGAUUGAGAGUUGACUUUGGUUAUAUUGGGGUCAGAAUACAAUUCCGAGAGUUGGAAUAGCUUUGUUAUGACAUUUGGGACUUGCCUGCAAAAUUUGGUGUCAUUUGGAAUUAAUUUGAUAUGGUUUGGGCGCUUGGUUGCGAUUCUAGAAAUUCUUGAAGUUCAAGGUGAUUUUCAUGUGUUUUGGCAUCCGAUUCGUGGUUCUAGUGUUAUUUUGGUGUUCCGAUCACGUGAGCAAGUUCUUGUUAUGUGUUCAGACUUGCGUGGGUGUUUGGAUUGGAGCCUCGGAGGCUCGGGUGAGUUUCGGAUUAGCUUCGGAUUGUUUUGUUAACUUUUGUGUGCUAGUUAUGGUUUUCUCGCAUUUGCGAGGUUUUGGUCGCAAAUGUGACUACCGCAAUUGCGAGGUAGUCAUCGCAAUUUUGAACCUGGGCUGCUGGGGAUAGGGUCGCAUUUGCGAAGAGAGUAUCGCUUUUACGAAGCCUUCAAAGUUCGCAUUUGCGAACUCCCUAUCGCAUUUGAGAUGAAGGCAAGACCGUUCUAUAUUUCGCUUUUGCGAAGGAUUCUUCGCUUUUACGAGCUAACAUUUGCGAACCUAAUGUCACAAAUGCGACAUCUGCAGCCUGCUAAAAGCUGGGUAUUCCGAAUCUUAGUUUUAUUUUAUCAUAUUUUGAACCCUAGGUCCGAGAGUGGGCGAUUUUGAGAGGGGAUUUUCAUAUCAAAUUAUUGGGUAAGUGCCUUUAAUAAAUUUUCAACUAUAUUUUGUGAUUAUAUCUUAGAUUUAACAUCAAAUUCAUGAGAAUCUAAAGGAAAAUUUGGGAAAAAUUGUAAAAUCUUUCAAAAAAUGAAAAUGAUUAUUUGAAGGACGAAUUGGUGUCGGAACUUGAUAAUUUUUGUAUGGUUGAACUCGUAUCGGAAUAGGUGUUUAGGUUUUGUAAAUUUUGUCUGGUUCUGAUGUGUGGUCUCGGGGAGUUGACUUUUGUUGACUUUUUGCAAAUUGUACAAGGAUCAUAUAUUUGUUAAUUGAAAUUAUUUUCUCUUGCAUUGUUUGAUGUAUUUAAGUUGUCUUUGGCUAGAUUGGGCUGAGCGAUGGUGAAUUGGUAAAGGAAAAUCUAAAUUGAGUAUUGAGUUGGCCGAAUUGAGGUAAGUAUCUUGUCUAACUUUGUGUGGGGGAAACCACCCCUUAGGAAUUGAGUUAAUUAUGUUAUCUUGUUAUGUGAAAGCCGUGUACGCAAGGUGACUAGUGGGUACACAGCCUAUAUGUGGUAUUGACCGGUUUAGAUCGAAUAGCCUCUUUCCAUGCUUUUGAUUAAAUUCUCAUAACAUGUGGUAUCUCGUUGUUAGACUACUCUUACAUGCUCUAUAUGAUGUGGUUAGCCUUUAUUUACCUCUUAUUUGAUAUUUGGCCCUUAUUUGCCUUGGUUGUAGUCAUUGCCUUCAUUGUUGUCUUGUUACCUCUUAAUGGUUGAGUUCUUAUAUAAAUAUAUGCAUAUCUGUUACGUGUCCAAGUUGUUGUGAUUACCUGCGUAGUUAUCACGUGCUUACAUGUCUUUUGUGUUAUAAAGGUUGUAUUCCUUUGAUUUUUUUACGUGGUUCCCUUAUUGGUAUGUACUCAUACUCUUGGUUGUAGAAAUUCUUGUAAUGGGGUUGUUGAAUUGUUGUUGUUGAUUUAAAUUUUACGGGGGAUAGGGUUGCAUGCUGUAACAGGUAAAAUAAGGGAGGUGGUGGAAUAAGGAAGGAUAUUUAUAUUGUGAUAUUGUUAUUGUACGGUGGGAUGGGGUUGCACGCCGAAACAGGUGAAAUAAGGGUGGAUUAUUAUGGUGGAAUAAGGGUGUACUCAUACUUUUGGUUGUAGAAAUUCUUGUAAUGGAGUUGUUGAAUUGUUGUUGUUGAUUUAAAUUGUAUGGGGGAUAGGGUUGUAUGCCGUAACAGGUGAAAUAAAGGAGGUAGUGGAAUAAGGAAGGAUAUUUAUAUUGUGAUAUUAUUAUUGUAUGGUAGGAUCGGGUUGCACGUUGUAACAGGUGAAAUAAGGGUGGAUUAUUAUGGUGGAAUAAGGGUGAAUUAUGAUAUUGAUAUUAUAUGGUGAGAUCGGGUUUCAUGCCGCAACAUAUUAUGUUUACUGUUAUGAUAUUGAUAUUGUAUGGUGGGAUCGGGUUGCAUGCCGCAACAGGUGAAAUAAGGGUGAAUCAAUAUGGUGAAAUAAGGGUGACUUAUGAUAUUGAUAUUAUACGGUAGGAUCGGGUUGCGUGCCUACAACAUAUCUUGUAUUCUGGUAUCCCCUGUUUUACUGUAUUGACUUUAGUUCCUUCGUGCGAGGCUUUGAUAAUCUGUAUUUCUGGUUUUCACCGAGUUUUGAGAAUCGAGUUAUUGUCAUUGACUUAUUGCCUUGCCAUCAUUUCCUGAGCUCUUUUCCUAAUACUAUUUUUCUGGUGAAUUGAUUUUCAAAGUAAACUUACUACGUUGAGUCAUUACCUCCUGCCCUGCUGAGUUGUUAGGAAUAUAGUGAUUUAAAAUGAAAGAACUAAUAUCAUGCUACCUUGUGUGAUGUUAAGUUAGAACUCGCAGUAUAUUUCAGUAUCUACUAUUUCUAAUAGACGUUACAUUUUAUUUCAAUUGCUUUCCCCCAGCUUGAUCUACUUAACCUGUCUGAGGUUUUUAUUUUAGUUAAAAAAAGAAUUGUUAUUAUGUUUUCACUUAAUAAAUUCUAUAUUAAAUGCAAUAGCUAUUCGAUGUUGAAUUUUAUUUGAAAAUGUUAUUUUCUUCAUUCAAAUGAUUUUUACAACAAAACUCAUCUUUCUCGUUGAUUUUCUAUUUGGUUUUGUCACCACCGGCCAGUCGUUUUGAGCACUUGCACUUCACUCGCCAGUUCUCGAGCAUGACUAGCCCUGUAUGAUGUAUUAUGACUUAUGUAAACCAUCGGUUUUGGUUUUCAGGAUAAUCGGAAUAGACUUGGAAGAACAAUUCUCAGCUUGAAGCUUUAAAUUUGAAAGGUUUGACCAAGUUUUGACUUUUUAGUAUUCGAUCUCGGAUUUGGAUUUUUAUGAUUUGGUUAGCUCCGUUAGGUGAUUUUGGACUUGGGAGUGUGUCCGGAAUGUGAUUUGGAGGUCUGUGGUAGAUUUAGGCUUGAAUUGGCAAAAUUAGAAUUUUGGCAUUUUCCGGUUGGUAGUGGAAAUUUUCAUAUCGGGGUCGGAAUAGAAUUUUGGAAAUUAGAGCAGCUCUGUUAUGUCAUUUUGGAUGUGUGUACAAAAUUUCAGGUCAUUCGGAUGAAGGUUGAUAGACUUUUUGAUCGAUUACGGAAUUCGGAAGUUUUGGAAUCUUUAGGCUUGAAUCCGAGGGUGAUUUGUUGUUUUGGCAUUGUUUUGAAUGUUCCGGGGAUUGGUAAAAGUUUGAAUAGUGGUAUAUGACUUGUUCAUAUCUUUGGUUGAGGUUCCGAAGGCCUCGGGAUGGAUUCAAAAGGUUGACAGGAGUUUGGAAAUUGAAGCUGAGCAGCUUCAACUGUUGUUCCUGUCAUAACCACACCUGCGCAAUGGGGACCGCAGGUGCGGUGUCGCUGAUGCACGGAAGAGGUCGCAAAAGCGAUUUUGUUCAUUUGGAGCUGGAUCGGAGCUAUAGGGCUUCUAACGCACCUGCGGGGCACAGGUGCAAGGUUCUAACCGCAGAUGCGGAAUUGGCCCUUAAGUGAAAACCGCAGGUGCGGUUAUUUUGAUCGCAGAAGCGGUCUGCUGGUGCGGUAUUUGGUCUGCAGGUGCGGGAACACCCGGGCAGAAACUAUAUAAGCUUUCCUUCGCGAUUUUUAGCCUUGUUCCACCAUUUUUUAGACGGCUUGAGAGCUUUUUGAGAGGAUUUGAAGAGGGAUUCAAGGGAUAACGCUUGGAGGUAAGAUUUUUGAACCCAUUACUCGAUUCCAUGGCAUUAUUUUACUGGUUAUGCUUGAAAUUGAUGGAAAUUAAGGGUUAAAAUUAGAGAAUUAGGGUUUGGUAUUGGAGAUUUUCCAUUAGGGAUUUGAGAGGCCAUUUGGGGUUCGAUUUUGAUGUUCUUGGUAUGCAUAGACUCGUGGGAGAAUAAGGAUUCUAGUGAUGUAAUUUUUAUCGAAAUACGAGACAUGGGCCCGGGGUUGAGUUUGGCCAAUUUCGGGAUUUUUUAGUUAAUUUGAUUAUUUUCGCUUGGGCUUUGUUCCUUUAGCACGUAUUAAUGGUAUGAUACUAAUUUUGGUUAGAUUUGGAGCAUUUGGAGGCCGAGUCGAGAGGCAAAGGUAUCGCGGACUAGAGUUUGCACCGGAUUGAGGUAAGUAAUGAUUGUAAAUGUUGUCCUGAGGGUAUGAAACCCCGGAUUUCACAUCGUUGUGCUAAUUUGAGGUGACACACACGUUAGAUGACGAGCGUGGGGUCAUGCACCAUUGGGGAUUGUGACUUGGUCCAUCUCGUAUGAUUAUUAAGUGGAGUAUUUGAUUGAAAAUUGUUUGAUAUCAUUGUGUUUUUGAAAGUAUUAUAUGUUUUGGGCUUAAUGCCAUAUUUGGGCCUCGUGCCAACUCUUUUGGUCCCUUAGGGGCUUUUUACUACUAUUCCUCAAUGUUUUGACUUAUUAUUUGUACUCAGUCAUGCUGUAUUUUACUGAUUUCAUAACUUAGUUGUAUUUACUCCAUUUUGAUACUUUAAAUGAUAUUUGGGGCUGAGUUUCUUAUUUUUAAUGUUGCCCGAGUGGCUUGAGAGGUUUCUGACUGAGUGAGGAUGAGGGCCUGUGUUGUGAGGAUAUUAUGGGAUCGGGCUACACGCCGCAACAGGUUAUUACUAAUUCAUGAUGAUUGUGAGGUUAAUGGCCUAAUUGAUUUAUGCCACGAGGUGGCUUGUUGUUAUGUGAGGCAGAGGGCCUGAUUGAUUAUGACAUGAGAUGGCUUGUUAUAGCGCUUGGGCUGUAGGAGCCCCUCCGAAGUCUAUACACCCCUAGUGAGCUCGGGUACCCAGUGUGAGUGAUGUGAUGUAGCUCGAGGGGCGGUUCUUGAUUCAUAUUAUGCCCGAGGGGGUGAUUACGAGUGAUUGUGAGGUAGCCCGAGGGGCUGGUUCUGUUGGUAUUAUGCCCGAGGGGCGGUUUAUGGUACUUGUUUUUUGCCUGAGGGGUUGUUUACGUUCUAUCAUUUUUACUCACUAUUUUAUCACUCAUUUGAAACUAUUGAAAGAUGUUUUUUUAAAAGAAAAGGUUUUACUGAAACUGAGCUUGAUUUUGAAUGAAAUGAUUUGAUCUGUAUACUACUUUGGAAACACAUUGUACUCAUUGUGGUGUUAUGAUGUGGAUUAUGUAUUUUUUUACUGCUCAGUCUUUAUUUACUCUUAUUACUUACUGAGUUGGCGUACUCACAUUACUCCCUACAUUUUGUGUGCAGAUUCAGGUAUUUUUGAAUUCGGUGGGGGGUGUUGAUUACUUAGUGGCAGGUUCAUCGGAGAUAGCAAGUUAGAUGUCUGGCAAUCGCAGCCCUGC
rnacentral:lncRNA from 1 species